GUUAUCAAGAAAGGCGGAGGGAUUAGACCCAUUGAAGCCUUAGCAACCCUUUAUUUAUAAAGAAGGUGCUAAAUUCUACUUUAUUACUGAAAAUUUCAGUAAUUGGAUAGAUAA
rnacentral:ncRNA from 1 species